GGGAUUAUAGUAUAGUGGUUAGUAUAUCUCAUUGUGGUCAAGCGACUCAAAAUUCUGAGACGACGCAGGUUCGAUUCCUGCUAAUCCCA